AUCUAGUUCAUAACUAGGAGUCUGAGAUCAAGGUGUUGGCAGGCUGCUUUCUUCUAAGGCUUCACUCCUUGGCUUAUACUAUAGAUGGCCUUCAUUUUUUUUUAGCAGGGGACAGGAUCUCACUCUGUCACCCCAGGCUGGAGUGCAGUGGCUGCUGUGCCCCUUGCUAUCAGGGACCCACUGUGGUGACUGUUUAGUCCUUCGUGUGGCUCCAGGACAGGACCUGGCAGUGCCCUGCCUCACAUGCCCUCCCCAUCUCACACUCAUGCCUCAUAUUUCUUGUCUCUUGCCUCUGGGCCUCCCUGUUGUCACCUAGUGGUGACACCCCACCAGUGCCGUGCAUCCCCAG
rnacentral:lncRNA from 1 species